GACUUCUGGUUUAAUGCACCUGGCCCGCGGCCCACAAGGCCUGUGAGUGCCGGCGCGCGUUUACCAUCCUUCCAGCAACGGCUACCCUUAACUGGGCGGCUGGAACUGGAUCUUUUACUUUGAAAAAAUUAGAGUGUUUAAAGCAGGCGUUUGCUCUGAAUACAUUAGCAUGGAAUAAUAAUCGGGACAACUGAAGUAAUGAUUGAUAGGGAUAGUUGGGGGUGCUAGUAUUGGCCGGUCAGAGGUGAAAUUCUUGGAUUCGGUCAAGACUAACUUAUGCGAAAGCAUU
rnacentral:rRNA from 1 species